rnacentral:rRNA from 1 species
GUGGGGAAUCUUGCGCAAUGGGCGAAAGCCUGACGCAGCGACGCCGCGUGAGGGAUGAAGGCCUUCGGGUUGUAAACCUCUUUCGGCAGGGACGAAGCGAAAGUGACGGUACCUGCAGAAGAAGCCCCGGCUAACUACGUGCCAGCAGCCGCGGUAAGACGUAGGGGGCGAGCGUUGUCCGGAUUUAUUGGGCGUAAAGCGCGCGUAGGCGGCCGCGCAAGUCGGAUGUGAAAACCCGGGGCUCAACCCCGGGCGUGCAUUCGAUACUGCGCGGCUCGAGACAGGUAGGGGAGAUCGGAAUUCCUGGUGUAGCGGUGAAAUGCGCAGAUAUCAGGAGGAACACCGGUGGCGAAGGCGGAUCUCUGGGCCUGUUCUGACGCUGAGGCGCGAAAGCUAGGGGAGCGAACAGGAUUAGAAACCCUUGUAGUCC